rnacentral:rRNA from 1 species
GUCAGAGCCAUAUCACCUUGCAGCUCUAGCCUGGUUACCCACUGAAGCUAAACAGGGUUGAGCUUGGCCAGUACCUGGAUGGGAGACCAACUGGGGGAAAAAAAAGGUUACUGCUGAAA